ACACCUCAACUCUCAUGGCCCGCCAUGAUGAGCUUGGACUUUGGGGGUCUUGCCGGCCUGACCGCCGGCUCCUCUCAAACGCAUCAGCUUGCCAGUGUUUGGUGGCAUCACAGGUGUGAUAACUAUCUACGCUUGUGGUUCUCCGCCAGGUAACCUUCAGUGAUGGGGGUUCGCUGGGGCUCACAGAUGUCACUCCUCAGGGAAGACACUUUUUGAAC
rnacentral:misc_RNA from 1 species